UAUUUUUUUUACCCCUUGCACGGUCAACAGGUUUGUCAAUAUUGUGAGAAAGCAUUUCUGUCACUGUGGCAGCGUUGACUCUCUCUUACUGAACCUUGUGCGCUACGCAGUUUGAUAUAGCCUGCCUAUGGUCGUAUAACAUAAUGAAAAGAAAGAAGUGUUGGAGCGCCACCUGGAGAAAUACUGCUUCGUCUUGCUUUUGGGUUGUCACUCGUUACCACAGCCACGAAAUUAAAAGUAUAUAUCGUAAAAAUGAAUUAUUACAAAUAAUGGUUUCUGGUCUUAAUUUAAUGUUAGGCAUAAGGUUAGCAGUGUGGUUAGGGUUUGGUUUAAAGUCUUAUUUUAAGAUAAAAUGUCGAAGUUGGCGGGGGUUAGCCAAUUAUGCCUUUGUAGUUGUGGUAACUAGUGACGACUAUCAACAUGUGUGGAAAUAACAACACGGCGAGCCGAGAGCUCACCUACGAUGGUUGUAAUCUUUUCAGACAAACACCAGUGUUAUCAACGCUAAAUUGCAAAAGCAAAACGUACGAUCUGAAAAGGAUAACCCAGGACUCCGAGAUUUUGUAGCCAUCUUCAUCAGGCUUCUGGACAAGGUAACCUAAGGGACCAAACUUGAAAUCAAGUCAUGAGAGGAUGAAUGCAGUGUUGCCAACUCCUCAGUAAGGAAAGUAGCUAUUGGCUGUCCUAAAUGACGUCAUCGCCCAAUUUGCAUAAUUGGCCAUGUGCAUGUAAUUGUGAUGGACGUAGUAUGGAUGCUGUAGGAAUAACGUCGUGGAGAGACAAAAGGAACGGUGCUGUUCUACCAGCCAGGCCUGCUGUAUGGCGUUGUGGUGGAACAUGACUAACACCCAGCGCUCUCUGGGUUAUUACCUGGUUUCCCUGCUCAUGUGGGCUCACUUCAUGAAGCACCCUUUGAAGGCUGUGCUGAAGGGGAUCACCAACGAUCCCAUUGACUUCUCGGUGAGACCAUGUCCCUUUCCUACCUUAAAAGUACUUUGUGAAAACUGCUGCCGUAAAAAUGUCUUUAUAAAUAGAUUGAUUAUAUCUGCCUGCUGAAAGGAUGAUAUUGGUUAUGUUCCAAUUCUUCCCCCUUCUCUUCUCUCAGAAGUGUGCACUCGUAGAGAAUUGGACUGCAGCUAUUAUUUUUGCUCUGUCCCGCAACAAAAAAAUUGUUUAGAGAUGAUUCGUUGCGGAAACUUCUGUAGCCUGGUGUCCUUGAUCAACCAUAUCUAAACUGUUCGGUAUCACCAAAAUAACGUUUCCAGUCAACAGAGGCAUACCCAAGUGGCGCAGCGGUCUAAGGCAAUGCUAGAUGUCACUACAGACCCUGGUUUGUUCCCAGGCUUUGUCACAACCGGCCGUGAUCGGGAGUCACAUAGGGCGGCCCACAAUUGGCCCAGGGUUGUCUGGCAUAGGGGAGGAUUUGCCUGGGGGAGGGUAGUCCAUCAUUGUCAAUAAGAAUUUGUUUUUAACUGGUUUCCCUUUAAUUAAUACAAAUAAAUAAUUUUAUCUCUAGGAACAAUACUUACGAUUUGACAUGUUGAAUGUGUCCUCCCAUUUUACACCUGUGGGCUGCAAUUGUAUUCCAUUCUAGACCACGUGGUCAUGUGAGAGUAAACUACAACGUAAUCUCCCACUUCUACAAAUGGAAAAUGGUAGACCUUGGAUAAAAUCUUAUUUUAAUUACCACGUUUUCUGCGCUAAACUGUGAAAAUACAGCUCCCUACUACAUCGCACAGUUCAGGCUUGAUCUAAUUUAUCUCUACAGAAACUGCACAUUGAGCUCACUGAAAUCAAAAAAAUUCAUGAAAUAGAAUUCAAGUAAUUGAACUGACGUCGGUCUACUGAUUGAGAGAAGAUCAAGUCUUAUCAGCCCAACAGAUGUCUCCUUAUAGCGCGAGCGCACUGCCUGCUCCACUGACCUGUUGCUGGCUUUAGCCCAUGGGUCUCCAACAGGUAGCCCACCAAUGAGCAUCUCGCUAAUCAAUUCUGAAAGUACAUGCAUUUUUCACGUGUUCCAUUGCAAACUGUCAUAAAAAUAAAGUUCCUGGCUACUACAUUAUCCCAUCCCUGGUUAGCCACUAUUUGCUUAAAAAGCAUGUAGGGGCCUCCUGAGUGGCACAGUGGUCUAAGACACUGCAUCGCAGUGCUAGCUGUGCCAUUAGAGAUUCUGGGUUCGAGUCCAGGCUCGGUCUCUGCCGGACACGACCAGGAGACCCAUGGGGCCAAUUGUCCCAGCGUCAUCCAACAAAAUAUUUUUUUUUGUGCACUACGCCAUCACUCACAGCCUUUUAUCCACAACAAGUCGGUUUGAUGGAAACACCUCUGGUGGGAAAAUGUGCAUGUUGUUUUUGUGGAGAUUAUAGAAUAUUUGCUUGAAAAUUUUGUUUUAAGAAUAGCAACAAAACUGUCUCUUCGUUUGUAGCUCUUUUAAGUCAUGUUUAAGCUCUUAUUGUUGGUGAAAGGACUAUUUAUUUAGCCAUGAUGUCCCAUAGAGGUCAGAAGACUUCUUUUCCCAGGCCCGUAUCCACAAAGCAUCUCAGAGUAGGAGCGCUAGGAUCUAGGAUCUGGGAUCUAGGAUCUGUCCAUAUAAUCUUAUUCAUUAUGAUCUAAAAGGCUAAACUGAUACUAGAUCAGCACUCUUACUCAAAGAUGCUUUGUGGACAUGGGCCCUGGACUAUGUAUGACUCAUUACAGCUGUUGUGUACAGUACACUGCAUGCCAGGCACAGUGCGGCUUUACUUGGACUCCUUAAUUCACACGUUUUAAAUCUCCAUCUGUUUAUGUAUAAAACAAAUGUUUGCCAUUCUCAGUGUGUGGUAUGUACCAUCAGACAGAAACAGACAGACAGCUGUCCCUCAGAUACAGAUAAACAGGCUGGAUGCUGUGUUUUACAUGUUGUGAUUGAGUCAGGCCCUCAACUGUGUUAGAGACCCUUAUGUGCUGCGGACAUCUGGGACGGUAUUUACGAAGCUUGUCAAAGUAGGAAUGCUGAUCUAGAAUCAGUGUCUCUUCCCCCCCCCCCCCCCCCUCCCCCCAUGUCCAUAUAAGCCUUGUGGUGUGAGAAAUGUUAAGACUAUGUUAGGAUGUCAGUCUAGACUAUAGUGACUACCAAUCUAGGGACACAUUACACUGCAUGUUCUAUGGAGUGUUCAUUAAAGUUUAUACGAGAGUGCAAAAGCAUUCAGACCCCUUGGAUUUCUUCACAUUUGUUUGUGUUACAAAGUGGGAUUAAAAAAAAUAUAUAUUUUUUUUUUUUGGGACACACUCAUACAUUUAUAUGGACACACUCAUCACAUUAUAUGGACACACUCAUCUCAUUAUAUGGACACACUCAUAGUGGAAGAUAUUUUAUUUAUCUUUAAAAAUAGAUAUAAUUUAUGAAUAACUAAGUAUUCCGCCCCUUUUUUGUUUAGGCAAGCCUAAAUUAGUUCAGGAGUAAAAUGGGCAAUUAUUGCACAAUCCUGGUGUGCAAAGCCUCUCAUAGACUCAAUGCCCAAAGGGUUUCUAACAGGUAUUGACUCAGGGAGCUGAAUACGACUAUAUUUGAGUUAAUAUCCUUUUUUUAUUAAUCUUUUACAAAGUGUUAGAAUUUUUCUUACACUUUGACAGAGGAUUUUGUGUAGAUUGUUGACAAAAAAUGACAAAUCAAUUUGAAUCCCACUUUGUAACACAAUAAAAUGUGAAGAAAUCCAAGGGGUCUGAAUAUUUUCGCAAGGCACUGUAGGUUUGUGAUUUAACGUGUGAAGAAAUGUGUUCCACGUCUUUAAUCACCAGUGGAAUGCAAUAAGUGUUAAUGUUGGUUAGCUAAGUGGUUGGUUUAAAAAGACCAUGAAUUUAUGUUAUUGUUGCGCUGACCAAUAAUUUGCAUUGAAGCUCAAUGUUCAAUUAAAGUCUCCCUACCAUGAUAUCUAAGCCAAUAUGACACCAAUGUCGAUGAAAAUGUUCAAAUCAUCUUGAUUGGAGGUACACAAUACACUCCCUGCCUCUUGUGAGCCGUCCGGCCAUUAGAGAACCACAUACUUGAUUUUUAACAGGGUUGUUAGCAUUAGGGGAGAGAGAAAAUUCUAGCUCAACAUCUAGGCGUCAGAUAAGAACGAGACUACAGCAUCCAUAAAGUGACCAUUAGACCCUUUUAGGGGCAAUAGUUUUGAUUAAAUGUCUAAUUUAUCGCUCUCACAUGCUAAUUUCUGUCCAUUAAGAACCAAUGAUGUGCUACCUUUUUUUUUUGUAUCAUUUCUGACAAUGCUAACUUAUUUUUUUUUUAUUUUUUUUUUUUGCCAAUGCUCAGAGUUCUAACACCGUGUCGAUCAACUCUGUUGCAACAACACCACUGCUUGCACCAGGCUGCCAAUCAGAAGUGUAUGGAACAGACCUAGGCUACUAUAUGUAUAUGUGGUAUUCAAGCUGAUGUUAAUCAAUAAAUGCAAACAGAUAUUUUGAUUAGCUAAGUAAUGUUAGCUGGCUUGUCCAACAGCUAGCCUCUGUAGCUAGGUAACAUCAGUCAGCUAAAAGCUAGCUAGCUACUGAACAGGGUAAGAAAUGUAGCUAGCUAUAUUUGGUUAUGGGAAGUUUUUACACAGAUUACUUCAGUCAUUCGCUAGCUAGCUAGAUAGAGCCAGAACACAACAGCUAGCCAAUGUUAGCUAGCUCACAUCCAAAUGCUAGUCCUACAUUCCACAAAACAUAGCUAGCUAGCUAAUGUACAUCAGUUCAAAACCAACAUCAGCUUUGGGCAAAUUGCCACGCUGCUACCGUACAUUGGCGUGUAUUCAUGGGUGCCGAGGGAAAACAUGUAUUUUAUCUUUCAUCUCUGUGUUUCAUAAAUGUCCUUCAAUUCGCAAGAGGCUAAAUAUAUCUCACUGGAGAAAGCAUCCGAGCGAACAUGGCAUUGAAUGCAAGGGAAGCCAGCAAGCAAUUGUCUUCCCUUGAUAAAUAAUUCUAAAAUAACAGCUAUACUGCGUGAGCUCAGCUGUGAAUGGUCCUUGCGCACCAAAGAAAAGAGUCAAGGGAAGCCAGUUUGCAGUUAUGCAAGCACAUCACCUGUGCCAUUAAGGCACAGACGUUUUGGCAGAGGCCGAAUUAAAGGUUCCAAUAAGACUGACAAUUACAGACUUUUGCUUUCUCCCCCCCCAAAAAUCAUUUUUUGCAUGUGGAAAUGUUGAAUAAUAUACCUUUUGUUUUUAAGAGUGACUGCCCCUAAAAACCAACUAAUCCCUUCCAUCGCCCCAACGCGUUCAGAGCCAUUUUGAGACUGAAAAUCCCUAUACGGAUUGACCAACUAUGGUUUGCAUGCUCUUCCGAAGGACCCUAUCAUGCAGAAUAGGUGGUUGGAGUUCAUUGGUCCCCAGUGCAGUGGUGGUGAGUAUACCGGUAGCUAGAGCAAUAGACAUCUGGUUAUGUAUGUUUGAAAAGUUGCAUUCAAAAAUACCUGGCUUGAUGAACUAGUAGGCUAAUUCCCCAGCCAAUCAGAUAUAGCUAGUAGAGUGAUUUUGGUUGUGAAGUGCACUAGCAGAAAGCUUUGUCCUUUCUCUAGAAAAAAAAAAUGCAAUUUACCACUUGGCUGUCUAUUAUAUCACCCUGUCACAGGCCCUCCCAGCCAACACCACCUCAUCAGAUUGCCUGUUGCAGUUGUUGGAGAGAUGUACAGAUGGCAGCAGAACAUGCAGCAUAGUGAAGACUUGACUUCACUGUGAGCAUAACUAUGAAUGGAUCAGUCAGCCACAUGUUGGCAAGUAUCCGGUUAGACAAACCUGUCAUCGACAACAGCUUUCACAGGCUCAUCAUUUGUACAAAUACAGAAGAAACAUGUUUAGAGCCAGCACAUGGAGACAGACGGACUUGAUACUGAUGUCUUUGAAUGGAGAGAGACCUGGUACUCGGCAUUAAAAUUUUACUAGACAACUUUUACCUGUAUUGUCUUUUUUUUAAAUUAUUAAAUUUAUCAGUCAGUAUGAGGAGUGGUAAAUCCUGUGUAUUUGCACCAGGAUCAGGGAACUCUUGUUGUAUGUAGGAAACCACACAGGAAGGUAUGACCACUGACAUGUAUGAUAACAUGGUCCCAUUACCACCAGACAGGAAGUUAUGACCACUGACAUGUAUGAUAACGUAGUCCCAUUACCACCAGACAGGAUGGUAUGAUAACGUAGUCCCAUUACCACCAGACAGGAAGGUAUGACCACUGACAUGUUUGAUAAGGUAGCCCCAUUACCACCAGACAGGAAGGUAUGACGACUCUGACAUGUUACCAUGGUAUCCCCAUUAUCACCAGACAAAAUACGUAUAGGCACAGUAUCCUACUA